UUGAUGUGUUGACUUUUUCAGGUAACUCUUGCCGAGAAGAAGGCCCAAGACAGCUCGCUCAGGGCUCAGGAGCUGGAGAGGGAAAUCUCUGAAUUGAGAAGGGAAAACUCUGACCUGAGAAGGGAAAACUCCUCUGAGCUGAGAAGGGAAGUUGCCCACCUGAAACAGAGAUUGGAUGCAAUCUGCAGACGGAGGCAGGCAGAGGAAUACAUGAGGCAGGAGCCCACCCCAGGAGGACCGUACAGGCUGCACCCUCCCCUGAGAGGUAAGGAGCACAAUGUGAAGUGC